rnacentral:lncRNA from 1 species
CACCGGCGCGGAGAGUCCGAGCGGAGCAAAGGAGAAAAGAGGCGCCCCACCGACUCGGCAGCGCCUCCCAGGUCAGGGUGCGGCGCCGGCUGUGCGGGGCUGCACUUGGGGAAACUUUGGUUACCUUGUUGGCUGCCGGGAGGAGGGCGCGGAACACGCAGCCCGGGCCUGGCGACCUCCGUGCGCCCCGCCUGUACGCUGAGGCCCUGGGAGCCGGCAUUUCCCGCGCACCCUGUCACUACAGAGACCUGGCAUCCACCGAGGGCCACCGGGGCGCUGGGCACUAUCCAGAGACUCUGUCCCGCCUUCCCGGGCGCGCCUCACGGAGCCCACUCUGCCGCCUCUCGCAAUCUCCGCCCGUUAUCGGCUCCGGCUUUGCGGCGGCGGGGCUUGGACCCCUCUGGCAUGCUGGUUUCACCUCCUUCUUGGCCUUGCAGUGCGGGGUAGGUCCUGAGAGCAGCCGGCGGCUGGGAGGAUCCGGGCAGGGGCCUCGCGGGCGCGAGUUAGCGCCGCAGUGGGAGCGGCGCGCUCGCGGUCGCAGGAGCGCGCUGGUCUGAGGGUCCGACUUGGGCGCGUCUCCGCAGGUGCCUCAGGCAGCCAGGUUGCGGGAGGUGCAAGCUGAGUGCGGAGGGCGGGUUGGUGCGGGCUGCGGAGCUGUUUGUAGCCACUGGUUCGACAAAUGCGAGCUCCACAGGGGCAGGGAGCUGGGUCCCCGAAGCCUGUUGGGGGCGCACAGCUUGGCCCGGACUCCCCCACCCCUCACCCCGAGACCUCUUUGGGGAGAGCUGGGGUCCAGAGGUGCGCCUGCCCUAGUAUGGGGACAAUGGCUGCUCCCCCUCGGGAGUGCCAUUUACCGAAGGAGGGCCAUGUCCUACUGGCGAGCGGCAGCGGUCUGGGUAGAACCCCUUUCUGAUGGAUGGCGAUCGCCUGAGCCCGCCAGCUGCCUGCUUUGGCUCAGGGACGAGGCGACAAAACGCGCACCCUCCCCCAUCGGUGUACUGAUGCUGUUGCCCCAGUCACCUUCCUUUGCCCUUCUCCGACAGCACCUCGAGCUUGCUCCCUCCGCGGUCUCAGGAAAAACUGAGGAAACGAGCUGGGUUCCGGAGCCAGGGGAAACAGUGAAGACGCUGCCAGAAUCUCAACAGCCUGGAAACCCCAUCACCUUGGUUCCCUGGGUCUUGGAGGAACUGACAGCUGGCUGA